CAAAAGAAAAUUUGAUGCAUUCAUACCAGUAGUCAGUAGAGCCUGUACUUCAGUCUUUGAGAGGAAUUCAACAGGAUGAACUACAGCUUUUUUCUUGGACUUAUAAUUGCAGCAGUAGUCACUAAUGUUGUGUCAAACCAAGUAUAUCGUGCAGGUCCAGGAGAGGAGACAACAGGAAACUACAUAAUAGCAAUAAAGAAGGAAGAAAAUCACUGCAUGUUUGAGCAUAUUGCUGAUAAAGUGAGAAAAGCUUCAACUGAUCAAAGAAUAUCAGUGAAAGUGGAAGGGCCACUUGUUAAAAUCAUAGCAGCAAAAAUGACAGAAGAUGAAGCAAACAAAUUAGUCCAUCAAAAGGGCAUUGAAUUUAUAGAGGAAGAAACAUAUGCUUCUAUUGAUAUGUCAUGGGCUGUAGAUCGUGUUGACCAAGUCAGUUCAGUAUUGGACAAUAAACCAUACACUCCUUGUGAAUGUGGCAAUGGUGUUGAUGUGUAUGUCCUUGAUACUGGUAUUCGCUAUGAUCAUUGCGAGUUUGGAAGGACAAAGUAUUCAGAUUACGUGUUUGAUGGGGGACGAGCCAAGUAUUCAGGCUAUGAUCCAAUUGAUAAUUACAAUGACACCAAUUUAGAAGGUAGAGAUUGUCAUGGACAUGGUACCCAUGUAGCCAGUUUAGCAGUUGGUAAUGUUUCUGGACUAGCUCGUUGUGCUACUGCUUAUAGUGUACGUGUACUAGACUGCAAUGGUAGAGGACCUUACAGUGUUAUAAUAGACGGACUCAACUAUGCAGCUAUAAGAAUUAAAGACUCUAACAGACCAGCUGUGAUUGUAAUGUCACUAGGUGGAUCUUUCUCCUCUUCUCUUGAUCAAGUGGUAACUAAUGUGAUCAAUCAAGGAAUACCUGUGGUUGCAUCUGCUGGUAAUAAUCGCGGUAAUGCAUGCUCUAGAUCACCUGCUAGCAAUCCUGGGGCUAUAACAGUCGGUAGCACUUUAAUAGGAGAUUUUAUUAACUAUAAUACUAAUGCUGGACCCUGUGUAGAUAUAUUUGCUCCUGGUGCAUAUGUGACUGCUGCUAGUCAUACUUGUUCUUCUUGUUCAUGCACUAAAGUUGUAAGUGGUACAUCAAUGGCUGCUGCUCUUGUUUCUGGUGCUGUCGCAUUACUACUGGAGAAUGAGCCUUUUCUCUCUCCUGAUAGUAUCGCAGAUGAAUUGAAAUAUGACUGCCUUAAAAAUGCUAUCAAUUUAAUUUUCUUGGAUCCUUCUUAUAAAAGCAACACAAAUAAUUGCUUCCUUCACAUUAAAAAAUGCACUGAUGUAUGUGACAUUACUCCAACUAGUACCAGCAUCAUGACACGUACUAGACCCUCAAUAUAUGUCACUAUUGCAGAACACACUACAUUCUCAACUGCAAUUACUACCAUUGCAAAAAGUACCACCUUAACAUGUGCUACUACUUCAACUGACACUGUCACUGUGACAGAUGAUGCUACCCUAAUAUGCAAUUCAACUUCAACACAUCAUGCUACUAAAAUACAUAAUUCUACUUCAACACACCAUAUUAUGACAACCUAUCAUACUACUGCAACCCGUUAUACCAGUUCAAUAUGUAAUACUACCUCAACACAUCACAUAACUGCAACACAUCAUGAUACUUUAAUACACCCUUCUACUUCAAUACAACACUCUACCUCAACAAAAGAUAUUACUGUAACACACACUUCUACUUUGACACGUCACUCUACGUCUACACAUGAUACUACAUUACAGCAUCCCUCCACUUCAACACAUCACACUACUGCAACACAUAGAGCUACAUUAACACAUACCUCUACUUCAACACAUCACAAAACUUUAACACGUACCGCUACAAUGAUACAUCCUUCUACUUCAACUGCAUGGGUUGUUAAAACUAUUGCAAAAUAUGCUCAUGUGACAUCUUGCUGUGUGGAAGCAUCUCCUCCAGUAACCAAAACGGUUGUAAUAACUAGGUAUAGAGACAUUACUGUGUGCCCUGGGGCUUUUCAUUAAAAAUUGUAAUUCAUUGUAACUAUAGAAGCUUUUUAUUAUUAAAAAACACUCUUUUAAAAGAAUAGAUCCAAGAUUAAGAUGAUAAUUAUCUUGCUGCAGCCACGCCCACAUAGCGGCGCAUAUGCAUUGAUGCAUGCAAUAAAAAGACGGCCGGUUUGCUCUCAGACCUUCAUUUUGAUUCAUAAUAUCAACUAGUAGAAAUGAGGCUCUUGUACUGGUCUUGUUGUUCUCUCCUGCUUUUUAUCUCACUCGUUGAGUCUCGUCGAGUCAUCCGUGCAGCCCCAGGAGAAGAGACGACAGGAAACUACAUUGUAGUGAUGGAGAAGGAGACCAGUCACAGCACGUUUGAGCAUAUUGCUGAUGAAGUGAGAAAUGAAUCAAUGGAUCACAAGAUAGCAGAGAAAGUGGAAGGACCAUUUGCUAUGAUUAUAGCAGCAAAACUGACAGAAGAAGCUGCACACAGGUUGAAGAAUCAAGAAGGUGUUGCUUUUGUAGAGGAAGAGACAUUUGCUCACGGCUCAGACGUAUCAUGGGCUGUGGAUCGUAUUGAUCAAGUUAGUUCAGUCAUUGAUGGAGAACCAUACACUCCUUGUCACUGUGGAAAGGGUGUGGACAUAUACGUGCUUGACUCAGGUGUGAAUUACGAUCAUUGUGAAUUCGGGGGGAGAGCCAAGUACCCCGGCUACGACCCAGUCGAUAACUACCUCAAUACAAACAACCGGGGCAAAGACUGUCACGGACAUGGUACCCACGUUGCUAGUUUAGCAGUUGGAAAGAACUACGGAGUUGCUCGCUGUGCAAACGUUUAUAGUGUUCGAGUUCUAAGAUGCGACAAUGGAGCCCCUUGGAGUGUUGUCAUUGAUGGAUUGAACUAUGCAGCAAGAAAAA